rfam:Vigna angularis cultivar Jingnong 6 chromosome 1, whole genome shotgun sequence.
GGAUUCAAGGCCAGCUUGAGCCUUCAGGAGGAAAACAUUGUUAGAUAGAGAGUUUGGUUAGGUUUAUUUGUCAAAUAAUAAUGUAAAUAUCUUAAGUUCAAUGAAAACAGAAAGCUCGUGCAGAAUUAAAAGAUAAAAGUUCUUGAGUCUGAUUUUCUGUAAGAAUAUGGGUGGUGAAAACUUAUCGAUCCUUUGGUUUUUUGGAAUUGGAAAUUAGAGAUUUCAGACC